rnacentral:lncRNA from 1 species
GGUAGAGGAAUUUCAAAGAAAGUCUUCAGCAACUUCUUCAAACAGUGACAGUGAAAGUCAUCAACACAUAAUCUGAGGAAUAUAAAGAGUUGAGGAAUUAGAACCUGUUUCACAGCAAAGACAGUAGUUGAUGACCCAGUUCCAACUGAUGUGACAGUUGUACAUCUGGUUUGGAUCGGCUUGGUAUUGAAACCAAAAGACACACAGUCCCGGGACACACAG